rnacentral:rRNA from 1 species
GAUGAACGCUAGCGGCAGGCUUAAUACAUGCAAGUCGUGGGGCAGCAGGAAGUAGCAAUACUUUGCUGGCGACCGGCAAACGGGUGCGUAACACGUACGCAACUUUCCCUUUACUGGAAGAUAGCCCACCGAAAGGUGGAUUAAUACUCCAUACUAUAAUGAAACGGCAUCGUUUUAUUAUCAAAGCUCAGGCGGUAAAGGAUGGGCGUGCGGCUGAUUAGAUAGUUGGCGGGGUAACGGCCCACCAAGUCUACGAUCAGUAGCUGAUGUGAGAGCAUGAGCAGCCACGCGUGGACUGGGAGACGGGCCCGACGCCAACGGGAGGCAGCAGUAAGGAAUAUUGGUCAAUGGACGCAAGUCUGAACCAGCCAUGCCGCGUGAAGGAUGAAGGUCCUCUGGAUUGUAAGCUUCUUUUAUAUGGGACGAAACACUUUCUUUCUAGAGAGCUUGACGGUACCAUAGGAAUAAGCACCGGCUAACUCCGUGCCAGCCGCCGCCGUAAUAC